rnacentral:rRNA from 1 species
GAUGAACGCUGGCGGCGUGCUUAACACAUGCAAGUCGAACGAAGCACUUUAUUUGAUUUCCUUCGGGACUGAUUAUUUUGUGACUGAGUGGCGGACGGGUGAGUAACGCGUGGGUAACCUGCCUUGUACAGGGGGAUAACAGUUGGAAACGGCUGCUAAUACCGCAUAAGCGCACAGCAUCGCAUGAUGCAGUGUGAAAAACUCCGGUGGUAUAAGAUGGACCCGCGUUGGAUUAGCUAGUGGGUGAGGUACCGGCCCACCAAGGCGACGAUCCAUAGCCGACCUGAGAGGGUGACCGGCCACAUUGGGACUGAGACACGGCCCAAACUCCUACGGGAGGCAGCAGUGGGGAAUAUUGCACAAUGGGCGAAAGCCUGAUGCAGCGACGCCGCGUGAGCGAAGAAGUAUUUCGGUAUGUAAAGCUCUAUAAGCAGGGAAGAUAAUGACGGUACCUGACGAAGAAGCACCGGCUAAAUACGUG